rnacentral:rRNA from 1 species
GAUGAACGCUGGCGGCGUGCUUAACACAUGCAAGUCGAACGAAACACCUUAUUUGAUUUUCUUCGGAACUGAAGAUUUGGUGAUUGAGUGGCGGACGGGUGAGUAACGCGUGGGUAACCUGCCCUGUACAGGGGGAUAACAGUCAGAAAUGACUGCUAAUACCGCAUAAGACCACAGCACCGCAUGGUGCAGGGGUAAAAACUCCGGUGGUACAGGAUGGACCCGCGUCUAAUUAGCUGGUUGGUGAGGUAACGGCUCACCAAGGCGACGAUCAGUAGCCGGCUUGAGAGAGUGGACGGCCACAUUGGGACUGAGACACAGCCCGAACUCCUACGGGAGGCAGCAGUGGGGAAUAUUGCACAAUGGGGGAAACCCUGAUGCAGCGACGCCGCGUGAGUGAAGAAGUAUUUCGGUAUGUAAAGCUCUAUCAGCAGGGAAGAUAAUGACGGUACCUGACUAAGAAGCCCCGGCUAACUACGUG